AACGAACGCUGGCGGCAGGCUUAACACAUGCAAGUCGAACGCCCCGCAAGGGGAGUGGCAGACGGGUGAGUAACGCGUGGGAAUCUACCCAGUUCUACGGAACAACAGAGGGAAACUUCUGCUAAUACCGUAUACGCCCUAAGGGGGAAAGUUUUAUCGGAAUUAGAUGAGACCGCGUAAGAUUAGCUAGUUGGUGGGGUAAUGGACUACCAAGGCGACGAUCUUUAGCUGGUCUGAGAGGUUGAUCAGCCACACUGGGACUGAGACACGGCCCAGACUCCUACGGGAGGCAGCAGUGGGGAAUAUUGGACAAUGGGCGCAAGCCUGAUCCAGCCAUGCCGCGUGAGUGAUGAAGGCCUUAGGGUUGUAAAGCUCUUUCAGUGGGGAAGAUAAUGACGGUACCCACAGAAGAAGCCCCGGCUAACUUCGUGCCAGCCGCCGCCGUAAAAC
rnacentral:rRNA from 1 species